GAUGAAGAACGUAGCGAAAUGCGAUAAGUAGUGUGAAUUGCAGAAUUCAGUGAAUCAUCGAAUCUUUGAACGCACAUUGCGCCCUUUGGUAUUCCAAAGGGCAUGCCUGUUCGAGCGUCAUUUGUACCCUCAAGCUUUGCUUGGUGUUGGGCGUCUUGUCUCUAGCUUUGCUGGAGACUCGCCUUAAAGUAAUUGGCAGCCGGCCUACUGGUUUCGGAGCGCAGCACAAGUCGCACUCUCUAUCAGCAAAGGUCUAGCAUCCAUUAAGCCUUUUUUUCAACUUUUGACCUCGGAUCAUGUAGGGAUACCCGCUGAACUUAAGCAUAUCAAUAAGCGGAGGA
rnacentral:misc_RNA from 1 species